AUUUUUUUUAAAGCGAUAAUAAUCGACAGCGGCCCGCAAAUACGCAGAAAACAGAGUCAAUCAAGCUCGGUAUUCAAUGAUGGGUCUCGAAGCAUAGAAAAUCAUCAAGAUCAGAGUACAGUUUGUCUCUAUAUUUCUUUACAGAUAAUACUGCAACGACUCGAGCAAUCACUUCAAUGAAACAGAUCAUCACCUCUCAUAACAGUCGUCUCUCUUAACACUCUCGAAUCAAAGACGAGCACUUAUCAUUUUCAGUUGUUAGACUCGACAGUAUCUCUUUUUCACAACCAUCCCAUUUAGAACACAUAACACCAGCAAUCAAUACCACCAUUUCCGACCAAUCCAGCCAACAUACCGAUCUCCACAUUCAGUUGUCGCUGCCAGUCACCUCUUGUUCCACUUUCUUCUGAUCUCACCAUUAGAAACAAGACCAUGAAUCCAACAGCACAUUCAAACCAGCCAUAACCAAUGCCAUUGCUAAUUUCAGCGUCAGUUUCUUUUCUUCUUAAUGUCAUAAUCACUAAAUCCGUAUCAAUUCACAAUAUCAGCAGUUUUUCCCUGUAAAUCAAGAACAUGACCAAUUCUAUUCUCAAUAUUCAAUCCAAUAAAAACUCAUCUUUGAUUUAACAGAAGAAUCUUUAAUUUCUUCUCCUAAUCCUUCUCUGAGACUCUCACAGAAAACCCAAAAGUGGAAUCAGAUAAACCUGCUUCGCCUGAGCCCAAUUAUUCCACCACAGAGACCUAACACCACAUCAACGUAUGAACCCUAAUUUCUGAUUGAUUUUCUUUAAAACCUGUAUAACCAUCCAUACUUCAAUUAAGAAACAAGCCCAUCAUGAAUUGAUCAAUUUAACAUCAGUUUCGUAUCUAAACAUCAGCCAAUUGUAAACCCUAAUUUAACUUACCAUUUUUUUAAUUUUUCGUGAUUCGCAGCAGCAACAUCUCCUUCGGAAUUCAGAGAGAAUAAACCCACUUUCAUCUACGCAGCUUCACUAGUUGAUUCAGUCGUAUUAACUCGGAAGUUCAUCGCUCGAAAUCAAACAGGGAAAGAAAAGAAGGAGAAUAAUCUCACAGGAAAAGAAAAUAAGAUGAAGAAGAAGGAACACGAAGGAGAUAAGACACGGGAUGCAAAAAGGAUUUAUCAUUUUUGGGGGCCCUGGUAAUGAAUGCAUAAUAAUUCAAGGGAUGUGAAAAAAAUAAAUCAAAUCAAUAGCUAGACACGUCACCGUGUAACCGAAUCAACGCUGGUCUUUAAACUAAACACAAAGACUGGACAAAUAUUAGACCAAACAGAUUUUAGUCAAAAUUUAAGUACCGAAAACCAAAUAACCUUUUAUUUUAACCAAAACAAACUAUUACCUUUUGUUUUUCUUCUUUCUCCUUUCCCUUCAUUAAUAGUGCCUCACAUCCUCUACCACUAAUAAUAAUUUUUUCAAGUUUUUCUUUUUUGUUUCAGUCACACAAAUUGUCUGCAUCGUUUAGUAUUUUAUCAUGGGGAGGAAGAGAUUGAGAACCAACUCAUGCUCCUUAAUUUCAUUACGGUGGAGAUGAGAGUGAUUUAAGCUGAUGCCUAAUUCUAGUAUCUACUGCACGAAUCUUUUGGCUAAUUAAUCGGGUGCGGUUUCGACCUGACUCGGUUCAUCAUCUCCUACACCUGCGAUUACCGGGACGUGACCUAAAAUCUCUGUACUUUACUGUUUACCUCUGUUUCUUUCGAGAUUUUUUUUUUUUUUAGUUUACUUACCUCAGAGAAAUGAUGUUUGGAUUUUUGAGUUAUUUGUUGUUUCCUUAAAUUUAAUAGAUGCAUAAAUUGCUCAAAUUGCUCAUUUUUUGAACUUUUAAUUUUUUAUAUUUUGAACAAAUAUGAUAAUGAACCGAUUGAUUCUGAUCCAUACAAUGGAUAUUUUAGAGAAGAUUGAACUUAUAAUAUGUUUGUAUGAAUGUAUUCGAAAGAAAUUGGUGAUUAAUUUUAUUGACUACACUAGAUUUAACCUUAAUAUUUUGAAAAUGUUAUAUUCUCAAAUUUCAAAGUUAAAAUCAAAGUUGGUGUUUCUCUAUGAAGCAAUGAUAGUGGUGGUGCUGGUCUGGAGGAAUGAUAAAGGUGGUGCUGCAUCGGUGAUGGUGUUCUACGUGGUGGUGGUGUUGGUUACAGCGGAGGUGGUGGUGAAAGAAUAGCGUAGCAUAAAUGGUGGCAAAGGAAUUACAGAGAAAUCUAAGAGGAGGAAGAAG